rnacentral:rRNA from 1 species
GAUGGACCUGCGGUGCAUUAGCUAGUUGGUAAGGUAACGGCUUACCAAGGCAAUGAUGCAUAGCCGAGUUGAGAGACUGAUCGGCCACAUUGGGACUGAGACACGGCCCAAACUCCUACGGGAGGCAGCAGUAGGGAAUCUUCCACAAUGGACGCAAGUCUGAUGGAGCAACGCCGCGUGAGUGAAGAAGGGUUUCGGCUCGUAAAGCUCUGUUGGUAGUGAAGAAAGAUAGAGGUAGUAACUGGCCUUUAUUUGACGGUAAUUACCUAGAAAGUCACGGCUAACUACGUGCCAACAGCCGCGGUAAUACGUAGGUGGCAAGCGUUGUCCGGAUUUAUUGGGCGUAAAGCGAGUGCAGGCGGUUCAAUAAGUCUGAUGUGAAAGCCUUCGGCUCAACCGGAGAAUUGCAUCAGAAACUGUUGAACUUGAGUGCAGAAGAGGAGAGUGGAACUCCAUGUGUAGCGGUGGAAUGCGUAGAUAUAUGGAAGAACACCAGUGGCGAAGGCGGCUCUCUGGUCUGCAACUGACGCUGAGGCUCGAAAGCAUGGGUAGCGAACAGGAUUAGAUACCCUGGUAGUCCAUGCCGUAAACGAUGAGUGCUAAGUGUUGGGAGGUUUCCGCCUCUCAGUGCUGCAG